rnacentral:lncRNA from 1 species
UUCGGUGACUGGGGUAUUUGGUCGUCUUGCACAAUGACUUGUGGCGAAGGAACACAAUCCAGAGCACGAGCUUGUAACAGUCCUUUACCACAACAUGGCGGAAAACAAUGUAACGGGCCGGACAUCGAAAAACAGUCCUGUUUAUUGCGGGAAUGCUCAGUUGAUGGUGGAUUUAAUGAAUGGAGUAUUUGGUCGACUUGUACAGCGACUUGUGGUGAUGGCAAAAAGACCAGGGUGCGGUCAUGUGACAAUCCUGCACCGAAAUAUGGCGGAAAAGGCUGUACUGGAACAAAUAAAGAAUCGACGACUUGUCGAAUACAAGAAUGUCCAGUCAAUGGAAACUAUAGUACAUGGUCAAGUUGGUCCACUUGUACACUAACGUGUGAAUCUGGGUUUCAAGCCCGUGCACGAGUUUGUAACAACCCGGCACCUGUUCACGGGGGAAUGGAUUGUAUAGGAGAAGAUACGCAAAUGCAGUCAUGUAACAAUGAAGUAUGUCCAGGUAAGUAAAAUAUCUUUUUUGCAGUUAUGACUUUUAAUUUUAAACUUGAGCUGUAAAACUGAGGAGAAAUAUGAUUUGCGUUCCGUCUAGCAAGCCAGUCCCAGAAUAGUAAUAGUUCUUUUUCAAUGACAGACGGAGCUCUGAGUCAAACAUAAUAAAUAAAAAAAUGUAAAACGUUUUUACUGGAUAGUAAUAAGUCUGUUCAGGUAUUUGUUAACCCUUUAUUUGCAGUUUGGACGUUUCUAUUCAAACUUUAUCUGUAAUUUGUUUGGACUUAAAAGCAAACUUGAGUGGAAAUAGGACUCUCAAAUGUAGAUAGUAUAUGUUUGAUUUGCAUGUAGUCUAGCAAGUUGCACGAUGUAGUAGUUCUUCGAGUGACACGAAGUUUUAAGAUAAAUAUCAUAUAGGAAAUGUUUUUCUUUCUGGUAUAUUUUACUUAGAUUUCAAUGGCUUAGGAUUGAUCAUAUAUAAAACUAAUAAAACAUUGUUUUGCAUACUUUAACCAUGCAACCCUCAUACCUUAUGGACAAGUGUGUAGACUCAACAGCGACACAUGCGAAGGUGAAAAUACAGAGUGUUCUGGCGGGAAAUGUCGCUGCACAGCACAUCAUUAUUAUGAUGGGGAUAAAUGCAUUUCUAAAACAAGCAUCAGCCCUAAAACCUACAGAGUAACAAUUAUUGUAGGAAGUGUUUCUGGUGUCAUAAUAACCGUCUUGGCAGUUGUCGCCAUCAUUAUUUCAGUGUUAUACAAAAGGAAAGCCAAUAAAGAGUUGACACAUACUGAAAGACCACCAAAUCCAGUUUAUUACAACACAGAUACCUCCGAAUUGAAAGUUCUAUCAAAGCUUGCCGUAAAAGGACACGUCUCCAGGGAAGGCAGCACUAAUGAAAGUCAGUACACGAGCUUGGAUAGUAACCUCAAGGAUACAGGUUCAACAUAUGAUGUUAUUAAAGGUUUUUAAGACGAAAUUGAACAUUGCCAUGUUGACAGACAAUAAACUAUGGAAGCCCAAGAGGCGGGAGGGUUUUGUACAUUUCAUUACAUCUCAGGACAAACCCGAUCUGACUGGACGUGUACUAAAACCUUGAGUGGAGUGGAGGUUUGGAAAGAAAAGUAAUUGAUAUAAAUAUGCAAACAUAUCUGUAAAAGAAAUAUUACAAAAACUUGGAUUACAGUAUAUUUCAGAAAUAAAUGUGUCAGUCUAAGAAAAAUGCACACAACUGAUACUCGGAAGACAAUAAGGAGGGGUGGUAGAGUAUUUACCAGGAAAAUGAUUCUUAUUAUCGAGGUAGCAAAUCCCUUUGACAGUAUAGUUGCAUGUCAGAUGUAUGAUCAUAUAUUUAAACAAUUUACAUGACCUUAUCCCGAGACCUUAAUUAUUCUCUAGAGGACAAUUGUAACAUUACUGAUAUUCCGUACUUAGAAUCGUAUACUUUACCAUACUUUGUUACUUACCAUUAACCAUGUAUACAUAUUCUCGGGUUUUUUACCCAUACAGUAUUUUAUUAAAAAUUCUCUGUUUUCCUAAAUAAUAUCAAUCCAUUUUGAUCCUGUUUAAUCCUAGAAAAGAAAGUUUAUAUAGCUGUCAUUCUGAUCUUUAUGGUUCUAUGUUCCCUCACCCAACCAACUACUCCAAGACUCCACUUCAGAACUUAAUUACAACACUCCACCCCAGGAUUCCACUCCAUUCAAGUACCCAACUCUACUCCAAUUCAAUACUCCACUCCACCAUUUCACUUCAUUAUACUAGUAGUAUAUGCCCUCAAACUGAGUCUGCUAUUAUUUUACUCAUCUGCCUCCUAUGUUUCAGUACAAAUAGAGUUGUUAUAUUUUGAUCUUUUUAGGUCGUUCAGCAUGCUAUUUAUGUUUUGUUAGUGACACUGUUUAUUCAGCGAUCAAGAACGUUUAGGCUUGGGUGGUUCCAAUAUUCCCGUUUUUCAUAGCUUUGGGUAGCGUUUAAUCAUCCCUUGGAGAUGAUGCCUGCUUUUUACUUUUGUCUUUAUGCAGUUUUUAUGAUAUGCAGACUCUAUAACAUAGACCCCUCUCUAAAUACUAGUUUGUUUAGUUUUGUUUUGACAAGUGGGAACAAUACGCCUCUUUCAAUGGAAUUGCACACUAAUGUGUCAUUGAAGGCUCCGUGUAGUCCGCCGUAUGAACACAGCUGCGGAUGUCUCUAGGUUGUGGUACUUGUAACAUGUGCAAAUGUUGAGUUCCUACAGGGCGUAUGCUUAUCCACUACCGUCCAUGAAAAGACUAAAUUAAACUGAGCCUGUAACAUUUUUAUUUCUGUCGUAUUAAACGGAGUUUCCACUUUUUCUAUUUUCUUACGUACUUUUUAGUAAUUUUGUUACGGGAUUUUCAGGUAAUAUUGGCUUUAUUCUGCAAGAUCCAGAGAUACACUAGGAGUGGUAAUAGGAACACUAUUUUUAAUAAUGCUUGUUUAUGGUCAAAAUGUAUUACUCUUAUGUCUUGUCGGAGGACGUCCUGAGUGUAUCAAAACUAAGAACACAUCGUAAAUAUUUUUUCAGGCCCCUAUAUGGGUAACCCCGUUUAUUUCAAAUUGUAUACAUACAUAGAUACAUAUAAACACAUGGAUACAUACAAACACAUGAAUGAAUGUAAAUUUCAAAACAUAUUAUUUAACAUGUUAUCUUAAUGACCUAUUUUAUGUAACUAGUUCACAUACAGGCUAAAGUCAUACAUCGUCAUUAACAUUUGUUAUCUGACAAUUUUCAAAUUGGGUAGUACAUACAAAAAUGUUUGAGAAGAAGGGUGUAUAAAAAAUAUCAAAAAUAUAGACAGGAAAAAGGAGCACAUAUGUAUGAAACAUAAGUGCAAGAUAUUUUCAAACAAAGAGAAGAAAAUAGGGAAAAUGGGGGAAACUGACUGCCCAGAUAAGGAAAGAAAAAUUCCUUUGACUUCAAUAAAAUAAGAGAAAAGUGAAAACUUCACAGGUCGCUCAACACGACAAAAAUGAAAAUGUUGCAGGCUCGGUUUGAUUGAGCCUGUUCAUGGACGGUAGUGGAAAUGCAUGCUACCGUCCACGCC